rnacentral:rRNA from 1 species
UACAGAGGUCUCAAGCGUUGUCCGGAUUUAUUGGGCGUAAAGAGCGUGUAGGCGGCUUGGUAGGUCCGCUGUGAAAACUCGAGGCUCAACCUCGAGAUGUCGGCGGAAACCACUUGGCUAGAGUCCGGAAGAGGAGAGUGGAAUUCCCGGUGUAGCGGUGAAAUGCGCAGAUAUCGGGAAGAACACCUAUGGCGAAGGCAGCUCUCUGGGACGGUACUGACGCUGAGACGCGAAAGCGUGGGGAGCGAACAGG